AGAGUUUGAUCCUGGCUCAGAUUGAACGCUGGCGGCAGGCCUAACACAUGCAAGUCGAACGGUAACAGGAAGCAGCUUGCUGCUUCGCUGACGAGUGGCGGACAGGUGAGUAAUGUCUGGGAAACUGCCUGAUGGAGGGGGAUAACUACUGGAAACGGUAGCUAAUACCGCAUAACGUCGCAAGACCAAAGAGGGGGACCUUAGGGCCUCUUGCCAUCGGAUGUGCCCAGAUGGGAUUAGCUAGUAGGUGGGGUAACGGCUCACCUAGGCGACGAUCCCUAGCUGGUCUGAGAGGAUGACCAGCCACACUGGAACUGAGACACGGCCCAGACUCCUACGGGAGGCAGCAGUGGGGAAUAUUGCACAAUGGGCGCAAGCCUGAUGCAGCCAUGCCGCGUGUAUGAAGAAGGCCUUCGGGUUGUAAAGUACUUUCAGCGGGGAGGAAGGGAGUAAAGUUAA
rnacentral:rRNA from 1 species